UACGGGGGGGGCAAGCGUUGUUCGGAAUUACUGGGCGUAAAGGGCGCGUAGGCGGCUUGACAAGUCACUUGUGAAAUCUCCGGGCUUAACUCGGAACGGCCAAGUGAAACUGUCAUGCUAGAGUGCAGAAGGGGCAAUCGGAAUUCUUGGUGUAGCGGUGAAAUGCGUAGAUAUCAAGAGGAACACCUGAGGUGAAGACGGGUUGCUGGGCUGACACUGACGCUGAGGCGCGAAAGCCAGGGGAGCAAACGGG
rnacentral:rRNA from 1 species